CCUUUCAUAGGGUGGGGUACCUAAAAGAUACUGUAGCCCCGCUCCCCUUCUCCUCUCUAUUAUGUCCCUGGAGGAAGUGGAAUGUUCAGGAUGAAUACAGAGCCUAUUUCCCAGUAUUUCCAAAAUGGGAAGGCCAGAAUCUCACCAUGCACACCCUGACAGGAUGGCAGAAAGGUCUGAUGGCCCAGAAGAGCAGGCUGCUGCCCAGGGCCCUAGGGCCACAUUCACAGAAAUGAGUGUCAGGGCCCCUCCUAGACUGGCAUGAAUUCACCCGUAUUACCAGUUUGUGCCCUAGACACCUGUUCGUAGAGAACUCUCCAGAAAUGUAAUGGUGAGAGGCCACCAAGGGAUGGAUCUUAGAUCCCUGGUGGAUCCCAAAUUGACCAGCUCUCCCUCCUGCCAGGAAUCCAAAUGUGGCCCAGAUAUCCACAGCAGCCCCUCCCACCGGGUGGGACAACAGCUAUUUUCUGUGGCACCUCCCAACCCUUCUCCCAGGGACAGGGGAGGAAACGUGCCAUUGUCCAGUGCCCCUUCCCCAUUAGGGCUGCUGGGAGGGGGCAGCUCCCUCAUCCUUUCCUUCCUGGCCCCGGGGGCCCACCUGGGUUCAUCUCCAAGACAGCCACCUGGGUUCAGCCUGCAGUCUAACCUCUGGCACUCUGCUGACAAGUUAAGUCCAGAUCCUCAGGAAGUAAGGCAUCUUGGGUCAGUUUCAUUUUACACAAACGGACCCAUGAGCCUGGACUUUGCACAGAGCUGGAUCCAGGGAAGCGGAUUGUCUGUUCCUUCCCUGGUGCCUCAGUCUUUGGGGGGCGCCCUCUGCUGGCCACUGGGAAGUGCGGGAAAGAACAGAGUUCGGCAGAUGCACUCUCUCAGAGGGUCUGGAGAAGGGGACAAGAGUCAGAGAAACAAGUGAAAACCAGGAGCCAGCUGAGAGUGGCAUACUGACCACAGAUAAGAGAGGCAUGCUGAAGCCUUUCUGCAGGUGGGGAGUUUUAAGCUGGCUUUCAGUAGACAGAGGAGGGGAAGCCACGCUGGCAGAUGGGGGCUCAGGACAUACCAGAGGCAGCCUUUUCCAUGUGUGGAACCCUGCCCCUGCCCUAAAUGGCUCACACACCCACUGAUGUGUGUGGUGCCCUGCCAGGACUGGGAGAAGUGGCCCCCAAAAGAAGUCCACAACUGACAAACCUCUGCGUCCAUCCCCACCCCCCAAACACAAGGAUGGCCCAAGCCCAGGUCUGUGGCAUGGUGGGGCUCAAGGUGGGGUAGGGGCCUGAGUCACAGCCUGGUGUGGUACUGCCCUGUCUCGGGAAAGGCCAGGUCAACAACCCAUCACUCUGCCUCUGGCCGCCAGACAUCCUCCUCGUCACGUCUCACACGUGGGGCCAGGGGGGUGUCAGGGCAGUGUCAGGGUGGUGUGGGCCAUGUUAGUGCUAGGGCCUGUGCUUCAGGGCCACAAAUGGGCAGGAGAAAAAGAAUGAAGGGCUUCUCACUGCUGUAGCUGGAGGAGUUUGGGUUAGAGGGAGGAGAGACUGGAUGGACGCCUGGGCAUCUGGAGUGCCUCCUGGUAUGUCGGGUAAGGGAGGCAACAGGUGCCACCAAGAACUGGCAGCUCCUAGAAUCUGUCCCUGAAGUUGCUUUUUCUGAGGAGGGUCACCCUCAGGGCCUCAGUAUCUGCACAGGUCCUUGGCCCGGUCUUAACCUCCAAAGGUGGCCCACUGCUUUCGACCAUCAGGCCCCACAUGGGCCUAUGUACCCCAGACCCCAAGAAAGGCGGAGGCUCUGGCUACCCAGACCACUCCGCAAAAGUAAAUGGUUCUGUGGGCUUCUCUCCUCCCCUGCUCCACUCACUGAUUCCCAGACUUCCACCCUAAUGGCCAGGCCUCCUUCCAGACCUAGCCUGGGUGAAGGGGACUCCCAGGGGCGGGGAUUGAGGCCCAGGAGGGAACAGAGAGCAUGGCGCUUUAAUUGGAGGUAAUUAGUUAAUUUACUCUGAAAGCAGUAGGGGGAGGGGAUGGGUCUGUGUCCUAAUAGGGCUCAAACUCUGCUGAGUCUCUUUCUGAAUAGAGCUGACCACCCACCCAGGAGACCCACUCUUUGGCCCCAGGUCAGAGCAAGGCCCAGAGCAGACCUGCAGUAGAGCUGCAGAAAAAAAGCAGGUGCCUUGGGGUGGUGGGAACAGGCCUUUUGAGGUUAGGCAGGGGGAACUGGCAUGAUUGGGGAGGUGCAAUCUGGAAUUGGAACUGGUUUCUCUCCUCUCACCUAUACUUCCAUCCCUCCCAAGGUCAUUGCCCUCCCAAGUUGGGGGCCCACCCCCCUCCUAUGGUCAGUGACCUCCCAGAGCUGCCCACCCUAAGGGCAGCAGGGCCUGAAGGCUAACCUCACUGCCUCCUGCUUCGGGAAGCCAUUCCAAUAACCAAUAACCGGGGAAAGGGGCGCCAGAGGGGAGAGCCCCUGCCGGGCCCCAGGGGGGCGUGUCGUCGGGCCCGACGCGUCGUCGGCGGUGGGAGGGAGGCCGGGACGGCGGGACGGCGUGGCGGGGACUCUGGGCGACAGCGCCUCCGGAGCCCCGUCUGAAGCAGCUGACCCGCUGGUGGCGGGCCAGGUCGCGGCGGGGCCGGGAGGCAGCAACGUGCGGCGCGGCAUGUCGCGGCCGCAGCGGCAGGGAAAUGUGGGGGCGGGCCGGCGCGCCGCCACCCCCACCCCACGCAGGCCCAUUCAUAAAACCCGCAGGCAUUGCCCGGGCCUGGCAGCCUCCUCUCCUAAUUGCAAACUCAUUAAGGAGUUUGCAUCUAAUUUGCAUGGAAAUCAUUUCCUGGCCCUAAACAGAGCAACUCCCCCUUCUUUUCAGACCCCUCUGCCCUGCUCUAUGCAUACAGCCUUCGAGAGGAGGUUGGGGGGGGAGCAUUAUCUCUGCCCUGAGCCCCCUCCCAUGCCUCACUCCCCCCAUCCUCCUGGCCGGGAGCCGGGAGCCGGGGAGCGGUGUUGGCAGAGCACCCACCUAGCUGGGAGUCCUGCCUGUGCCCUAGGUGAGCCCGCCCUGCACCAGUGGGUCCAAGCAAGGGGAGGUACCCGCCAAGUCAUUUGCCCCCCGGCUUGGCCAUGCCCAGGGAAGGGAGGAGGCGGACGGCGGGCAGCCGCAGUAGCUGGUUGUACCUGGCAGGAAUACGGUUGGUAGGUGAGGCUGUUCGUGCCCAGCCUCACGUACGUGCCCCCACCCCCACACCCCUCACCCCACAGAACAAGCGCCCAGUGACUACAGAAACAGACACCCAGCCUCUGCUCACAAAGGCACCCACACCAGGCCAGCCAUAAUGGCUGCCGUCUUGGCAGCUACCCUCAAGGGCAGACAGAUGCCUUCACAGGCCGUUUGGUUCUUCUCCAGCACCCAGACAGGGUUGGGGGGGAAGGGGCUUCUUUUAAGACUUAAGACUUCUCUCUUAAGGCUUCUCUUAAGCCUCAUAGAGGGGCUCCCUUCUGUACCCCAAAUGCGGCCUCACGCCCUUCUUCUCCUGCAACCCACAUUCAUGGAGGUCCCCCAAGUGCUGGGCCCUACAUGAGGAUCUACCCGGGUGAGGGGGACACAGGGGCCUCUAACCCAGGAGGGACAGUGGAGGUGGCAGCCCCAGAGAAGGGGGCACCUAAGUGCUUCCCCAGAUGGGCUCUCUCCUUCCUGUAGUAGGUGGAAUGUUCCCCAACCUCUGGGAAGGGGGGAAUGGCAUGGUUUAAACUGUUGGAAAUGGGACAGAACUACCUAAAGUACAUGAAAUCAGAUACUACCUGGGGCACAGUGCCCUGGUCCUGUAUGUCCUGAGACAGUGUAAAAAGCAAUCACAAAAUUUUCAGCAUCAGGAUCGAAAAUUAAAACCUGCCUCUUGUCUG
rnacentral:lncRNA from 1 species